AUUGAACGCUGGCGGCAUGCCUUACACAUGCAAGUCGAACGGCAGCGGGGGAGAAGCUUGCUUUUCCUGCCGGCGAGUGGCGAACGGGUGAGUAAUACAUCGGAACGUGCCCUGUAGUGGGGGAUAACUAGUCGAAAGAUUAGCUAAUACCGCAUACGACCUGAGGGUGAAAGUGGGGGACCGCAAGGCCUCAUGCUAUAGGAGCGGCCGAUGUCUGAUUAGCUAGUUGGUGGGGUAAAGGCCUACCAAGGCGACGAUCAGUAGCUGGUCUGAGAGUAGGAUCAGCCACACUGGGAAUGAGACACGGCACAGACUCCUACGGGAGGCAGCAGUGGGGAAUUUUGGACAAUGGGCGAAAGCCUGAUCCAGCAAUGCCGCGUGUGUGAAGAAGGCCUUCGGGUUGUAAAGCACUUUUGUCCGGAAAGAAAUGGCUCUGGUUAAUACCUGGGGUCGAUGACGGUACCGGAAGAAUAAGGACCGGCUAACUACGUGCCAGCCGCCGCAGUAAGAC
rnacentral:rRNA from 1 species